rnacentral:rRNA from 1 species
UGGGGAAUUUUGGACAAUGGGCGAAAGCCUGAUCCAGCAAUGCCGCGUGUGUGAAGAAGGCCUUCGGGUUGUAAAGCACUUUUGUCCGGAAAGAAAUCCUUGGCUCUAAUACAGUCGGGGGAUGACGGUACCGGAAGAAUAAGUACCGGCUAACUACGUGCCAGCAGCCGCGGUAAUACGUAGGGUGCAAGCGUUAAUCGGAAUUACUGGGCGUAAAGCGUGCGCAGGCGGUUUGCUAAGACCGAUGUGAAAUCCCCGGGCUCAACCUGGGAACUGCAUUGGUGACUGGCAGGCUAGAGUAUGGCAGAGGGGGGUAGAAUUCCACGUGUAGCAGUGAAAUGCGUAGAGAUGUGGAGGAAUACCGAUGGCGAAGGCAGCCCCCUGGGCCAAUACUGACGCUCAUGCACGAAAGCGUGGGGAGCAAACAGGAUUAGAUACCCUGGUAGUCCACGCCCUAAACGAUGUCAACUAGUUGUUGGGGAUUCAUUUCCUUAGUAACGUAGCUAACGCGUGAAGUUGACCGCCUGGGGAGUACGGUCGCAAGAUUAAAAGCUCAAAGG